GCUGGGUAUGGCAGCACACACCUAUAGUCCCAGCUACUUGGGAGGCUGAGGCAGGAGGAUCACUUGAGCCCAGGAGUUUGAGGCUGCAGUGUGAUAUUGCACUGCACCCCAGCCUGGGCAACAGAGCGAGACUCUGUCUCUA
ensembl:misc_RNA Metazoa_SRP Metazoan signal recognition particle RNA